rnacentral:rRNA from 1 species
CAUGCAUGUUUCCGCAAUCAGGGACGAAUAGCUCAGUAAAACUGCGAUGAUUUAGUCUGGCUGUGUAGAUAACUACGUGAAAAUGUAGCUAAGGGAAGGCAGAAUCAGACGCAUGACUAUCAGUUAGUUGGUAGUGUAAUGGACUACCAAGACAGUGACGGUUGACGGGAAAUUAGGGUUUUGUACCGGAGAGGGAGCCUGAGAGAUUGCUCCCACGUCCAAGGACGGCAGCAGGCGCGAAAAUUGCCCACUCUUUGCAGGAGGCAGUUAUGAGACGUGAAGAUGAGUAUCUUGUAAAGAGGGAUAGGAGAAUUGGAGGGCAAGUUUGGUGCCAGCAGCCGCGGAAAUACCGACUCCAAGAGUGUGUAUGAGAGAUGCUGCAGUUAAAAAGUCCGUAGUCAUAGAAGGGCAAAGAGAGAUGCGAGGUCUCACAGUGCGAUGAUGGAGGAGCCGAUGGGGAACAUAGUAUACCAGGGCGAGAGAUGAAAUGCCAAGACCCCUGGUGGACUGAGCGA